AUACGGUCACCAAAACACUAUUUUGCACUGCUUGGCACUAUAGGGAAGAGGAAGAGGUACACAACUGAUGAAGAUGUUGUUGUGUUCAAUGGGAUGAAAGAGGUUGUAUCUAAUGUUGCUACUGUUGUCCGUGAAAGCGUCCAUGCUGAAGCAACACCUUGGAUCUACAAUGUUGUAAUCGAUUGUCUUGGGUUCUCUAGGGAGGCUCUCAUGUAUGCCAUGAACCACAUGACGGAGCACAAAGUCACCUCCCUGGUGUUCCUGGACAUGACUCCUGAUGAUCGUGACCUAUGGCUCAAGACUUUCCUAGCCAAGCACUACUAUAUCCGAUCUGAUCUGAUCUCUGUCUUUUAUACUGUUUAAGAACAGUAACUUGACCUGAUGCUUUUUGAGAACACAAGUCAGAUGUUCUCUAUUUGUUGCUUUUAGAAGUCAUAUGGUUUCUAUUUAUAAGUGUUUAGGGUGUUCUGGUCUCUAUUUACAACUAUUUACAUGUGUCUGUAUUUACAAGUGAACAUUCAAAGUGCUUUGGUCCAUGACAUGGUCUCUGAUGUGUGCAUAGUAGCAUUUUCAGAACAGAUACGCGCCUAUCUCUAUCAUUUUUGCAAACUGGAUAUAUGAAGGAUAGGUAAUUGUAA